rnacentral:rRNA from 1 species
GACGAACGCUGGCGGCGUGCUUAACACAUGCAAGUCGAACGGAAAGGCCCUGCUUUUGUGGGGUGCUCGAGUGGCGAACGGGUGAGUAACACGUGAGUAACCUGCCCUUGACUUUGGGAUAACUUCAGGAAACUGGGGCUAAUACCGGAUAGGAGCUCCUGCUGCAUGGUGGGGGUUGGAAAGUUUCGGCGGUUGGGGAUGGACUCGCGGCUUAUCAGCUUGUUGGUGGGGUAGUGGCUUAUCAAGGCUUUGACGGGUAGCCGGCCUGAGAGGGUGACCGGCCACAUUGGGACUGAGAUACGGCCCAGACUCCUACGGGAGGCAGCAGUGGGGAAUAUUGCACAAUGGGCGGAAGCCUGAUGCAGCAACGCCGCGUGCGGGAUGGCGGCCUUCGGGUUGUAAACCGCUUUCGCCUGUGACGAAGCGUGAGUGACGGUAAUGGGUAAAGAAGCACCGGCUAACUACGUG